CGGGGGGGGCAAGCGUUGUUCGGAAUUACUGGGCGUAAAGGGUGCGUAGGCGGCUUUCUAAGUUGGAUGUGAAAACUCUGGGCUCAACCCAGAGCCUGCAUCCAAAACUGGGAGGCUAGGGUCCUGGAGGGGAGAGCGGAAUUCCUGGUGUAGCGGUGAAAUGCGUAGAUAUCAGGAGGAACACCGGUGGCGAAGGCGGCUCUCUGGACAGGUACCGACGCUGAGGCACGAAAGCUAGGGGAGCAAACAGGAUUAGAUACCCUGGUAGUCCUAGCCCUAAACGAUGGAUACUUGCUGUGAGGGGGAUUGAAACCCCUUGUGGCGAAGCUAACGCAUUAAGUAUCCCGCCUGGGGAGUACGGUCGCAAGGCUG
rnacentral:rRNA from 1 species